rnacentral:rRNA from 1 species
ACUAAGCGUACACGGUGGAUGCCCUGGCAGUCAGAGGCGAUGAAGGACGUGCUAAUCUGCGAUAAGCGUCGGUAAGGUGAUAUGAACCGUUAUAACCGGCGAUUUCCGAAUGGGGAAACCCAGUGUGUUUCGACACACUAUCAUUAACUGAAUCCAUAGGUUAAUGAGGCGAACCGGGGGAACUGAAACAUCUAAGUACCCCGAGGAAAAGAAAUCAACCGAGAUUCCCCCAGUAGCGGCGAGCGAACGGGGAGCAGCCCAGAGCCUGAAUCAGUGUGUGUGUUAGUGGAAGCGUCUGGAAAGGCGCGCGAUACAGGGUGACAGCCCCGUACACAAAAAUGCACAUGCUGUGAGCUCGAUGAGUAGGGCGGGACACGUGGUAUCCUGUCUGAAUAUGGGGGGACCAUCCUCCAAGGCUAAAUACUCCUGACUGACCGAUAGUGAACCAGUACCGUGAGGGAAAGGCGAAAAGAACCCCGGCGAGGGGAGUGAAAAAGAACCUGAAACCGUGUACGUACAAGCAGUGGGAGCACGCUUAGGCGUGUGACUGCGUACCUUUUGUAUAAUGGGUCAGCGACUUAUAUUCUGUAGCAAGGUUAACCGAAUAGGGGAGCCGAAGGGAAACCGAGUCUUAACUGGGCGUUAAGUUGCAGGGUAUAGACCCGAAACCCGGUGAUCUAGCCAUGGGCAGGUUGAAGGUUGGGUAACACUAACUGGAGGACCGAACCGACUAAUGUUGAAAAAUUAGCGGAUGACUUGUGGCUGGGGGUGAAAGGCCAAUCAAACCGGGAGAUAGCUGGUUCUCCCCGAAAGCUAUUUAGGUAGCGCCUCGUGAAUUCAUCUCCGGGGGUAGAGCACUGUUUCGGCAAGGGGGUCAUCCCGACUUACCAACCCGAUGCAAACUGCGAAUACCGGAGAAUGUUAUCACGGGAGACACACGGCGGGUGCUAACGUCCGUCGUGAAGAGGGAAACAACCCAGACCGCCAGCUAAGGUCCCAAAGUCAUGGUUAAGUGGGAAACGAUGUGGGAAGGCCCAGACAGCCAGGAUGUUGGCUUAGAAGCAGCCAUCAUUUAAAGAAAGCGUAAUAGCUCACUGGUCGAGUCGGCCUGCGCGGAAGAUGUAACGGGGCUAAACCAUGCACCGAAGCUGCGGCAGCGACGCUUAUGCGUUGUUGGGUAGGGGAGCGUUCUGUAAGCCUGUGAAGGUGUGCUGUGAGGCAUGCUGGAGGUAUCAGAAGUGCGAAUGCUGACAUAAGUAACGAUAAAGCGGGUGAAAAGCCCGCUCGCCGGAAGACCAAGGGUUCCUGUCCAACGUUAAUCGGGGCAGGGUGAGUCGACCCCUAAGGCGAGGCCGAAAGGCGUAGUCGAUGGGAAACAGGUUAAUAUUCCUGUACUUGGUGUUACUGCGAAGGGGGGACGGAGAAGGCUAUGUUGGCCGGGCGACGGUUGUCCCGGUUUAAGCGUGUAGGCUGGUUUUCCAGGCAAAUCCGGAAAAUCAAGGCUGAGGCGUGAUGACGAGGCACUACGGUGCUGAAGCAACAAAUGCCCUGCUUCCAGGAAAAGCCUCUAAGCAUCAGGUAACAUCAAAUCGUACCCCAAACCGACACAGGUGGUCAGGUAGAGAAUACCAAGGCGCUUGAGAGAACUCGGGUGAAGGAACUAGGCAAAAUGGUGCCGUAACUUCGGGAGAAGGCACGCUGAUAUGUAGGUGAAGCGACUUGCUCGUGGAGCUGAAAUCAGUCGAAGAUACCAGCUGGCUGCAACUGUUUAUUAAAAACACAGCACUGUGCAAACACGAAAGUGGACGUAUACGGUGUGACGCCUGCCCGGUGCCGGAAGGUUAAUUGAUGGGGUUAGCGGUAACGCGAAGCUCUUGAUCGAAGCCCCGGUAAACGGCGGCCGUAACUAUAACGGUCCUAAGGUAGCGAAAUUCCUUGUCGGGUAAGUUCCGACCUGCACGAAUGGCGUAAUGAUGGCCAGGCUGUCUCCACCCGAGACUCAGUGAAAUUGAACUCGCUGUGAAGAUGCAGUGUACCCGCGGCAAGACGGAAAGACCCCGUGAACCUUUACUAUAGCUUGACACUGAACAUUGAGCCUUGAUGUGUAGGAUAGGUGGGAGGCUUUGAAGUGUGGACGCCAGUCUGCAUGGAGCCGACCUUGAAAUACCACCCUUUAAUGUUUGAUGUUCUAACGUUGACCCGUAAUCCGGGUUGCGGACAGUGUCUGGUGGGUAGUUUGACUGGGGCGGUCUCCUCCUAAAGAGUAACGGAGGAGCACGAAGGUUGGCUAAUCCUGGUCGGACAUCAGGAGGUUAGUGCAAUGGCAUAAGCCAGCUUGACUGCGAGCGUGACGGCGCGAGCAGGUGCGAAAGCAGGUCAUAGUGAUCCGGUGGUUCUGAAUGGAAGGGCCAUCGCUCAACGGAUAAAAGGUACUCCGGGGAUAACAGGCUGAUACCGCCCAAGAGUUCAUAUCGACGGCGGUGUUUGGCACCUCGAUGUCGGCUCAUCACAUCCUGGGGCUGAAGUAGGUCCCAAGGGUAUGGCUGUUCGCCAUUUAAAGUGGUACGCGAGCUGGGUUUAGAACGUCGUGAGACAGUUCGGUCCCUAUCUGCCGUGGGCGCUGGAGAACUGAGGGGGGCUGCUCCUAGUACGAGAGGACCGGAGUGGACGCAUCACUGGUGUUCGGGUUGUCAUGCCAAUGGCACUGCCCGGUAGCUAAAUGCGGAAGAGAUAAGUGCUGAAAGCAUCUAAGCACGAAACUUGCCCCGAGAUGAGUUCUCCCUGACUCCUUGAGAGUCCUGAAGGAACGUUGAAGACGACGACGUUGAUAGGCCGGGUGUGUAAGCGCAGCGAUGCGUUGAGCUAACCGGUACUAAUGAACCGUGAGGCUUAACC